rnacentral:rRNA from 1 species
UGGGGAAUUUUGGACAAUGGGCGAAAGCCUGAUCCAGCAAUGCCGCGUGUGUGAAGAAGGCCUUCGGGUUGUAAAGCACUUUUGUCCGGAAAGAAAAUCCUUGGCUCUAAUACAGUCGGGGGAUGACGGUACCGGAAGAAUAAGCACCGGCUAACUACGUGCCAGCAGCCGCGGUAAUACGUAGGGUGCAAGCGUUAAUCGGAAUUACUGGGCGUAAAGCGUGCGCAGGCGGUUUGCUAAGACCGAUGUGAAAUCCCCGGGCUCAACCUGGGAACUGCAUUGGUGACUGGCAGGCUAGAGUAUGGCAGAGGGGGGUAGAAUUCCACGUGUAGCAGUGAAAUGCGUAGAGAUGUGGAGGAAUACCGAUGGCGAAGGCAGCCCCCUGGGCCAAGUACUGACGCUCAUGCACGAAAAGCGUGGGGAGCAAAACAGGAUUAGAUACCCUGGUAGUCCACGCCCUAAAACGAUGUCAACUAGUUGUUGGGGAUUCAUUUCCUUAGUAACGUAGCUAAACGCGUG